AACGAACGCUGGCGGCAUGCCUAACACAUGCAAGUCGAACGAGACCUUCGGGUCUAGUGGCGCACGGGUGCGUAACGCGUGGGAACCUGCCCUUAGGUUCGGAAUAACUCCCCGAAAGGGGUGCUAAUACCGGAUAAUGUCUUCGGACCAAAGAUUUAUCGCCUUUGGAUGGGCCCGCGUUGGUUUAGCCAGGUGGUAGGGUAAAAGCCUACUAAGGCGACGAUCCAUAGCUGGUCUGAGAGGAUGAUCAGCCACACUGGGACUGAGACACGGCCCAGACUCCUACGGGAGGCAGCAGUGGGGAAUAUUGGACAAUGGGCGAAAGCCUGAUCCAGCAAUGCCGCGUGAGUGAUGAAGGCCUUAGGGUUGUAAAGCUCUUUUACCCGGGAUGAUAAUGACAGUACCGGGAGAAUAAGCUCCGGCUAACUCCGUG
rnacentral:rRNA from 1 species